GAUGAACGCUGGCGGCGUGCCUAAUACAUGCAAGUCGAGCGAACGGACGAGAAGCUUGCUUCUCUGAUGUUAGCGGCGGACGGGUGAGUAACACGUGGAUAACCUACCUAUAAGACUGGGAUAACUUCGGGAAACCGGAGCUAAUACCGGAUAAUAUUUUGAACCGCAUGGUUCAAAAGUGAAAGACGGUCUUGCUGUCACUUAUAGAUGGAUCCGCGCUGCAUUAGCUAGUUGGUAAGGUAACGGCUUACCAAGGCAACGAUGCAUAGCCGACCUGAGAGGGUGAUCGGCCACACUGGAACUGAGACACGGUCCAGACUCCUACGGGAGGCAGCAGUAGGGAAUCUUCCGCAAUGGGCGAAAGCCUGACGGAGCAACGCCGCGUGAGUGAUGAAGGUCUUCGGAUCGUAAAACUCUGUUAUUAGGGAAGAACAUAUGUGUAAGUAACUGUGCACAUCUUGACGGUACCUAAUCAGAAAGCCACGGCUAACUACGUGCCAGCAGCCGCGGUAAUACGUAGGUGGCAAGCGUUAUCCGGAAUUAUUGGGCGUAAAGCGCGCGUAGGCGGUUUUUUAAGUCUGAUGUGAAAGCCCACGGCUCAACCCGUGGAGGGUCAUUGGAAACUGGAAAACUUGAGUGCAGAAGAGGAAAGUGGAAUUCCAUGUGUAGCGGUGAAAUGCGCAGAGAUAUGGAGGAACACCAGUGGCGAAGGCGACUUUCUGGUCUGUAACUGACGCUGAUGUGCGAAAGCGUGGGGAUCAAACAGGAUUAGAUACCCUGGUAGUCCACGCCGUAAACGAUGAGUGCUAAGUGUUAGGGGGUUUCCGCCCCUUAGUGCUGCAGCUAACGCAUUAAGCACUCCGCCUGGGGAGUACGACCGCAAGGUUGAAACUCAAAGGAAUUGACGGGGACCCGCACAAGCGGUGGAGCAUGUGGUUUAAUUCGAAGCAACGCGAAGAACCUUACCAAAUCUUGACAUCCUUUGACAACUCUAGAGAUAGAGCUUUCCCCUUCGGGGGACAAAGUGACAGGUGGUGCAUGGUUGUCGUCAGCUCGUGUCGUGAGAUGUUGGGUUAAGUCCCGCAACGAGCGCAACCCUUAAGCUUAGUUGCCAUCAUUAAGUUGGGCACUCUAAGUUGACUGCCGGUGACAAACCGGAGGAAGGUGGGGAUGACGUCAAAUCAUCAUGCCCCUUAUGAUUUGGGCUACACACGUGCUACAAUGGACAAUACAAAGGGCAGCGAAACCGCGAGGUCAAGCAAAUCCCAUAAAGUUGUUCUCAGUUCGGAUUGUAGUCUGCAACUCGACUACAUGAAGCUGGAAUCGCUAGUAAUCGUAGAUCAGCAUGCUACGGUGAAUACGUUCCCGGGUCU
rnacentral:rRNA from 1 species